AUUGAACGCUGGCGGCAUGCCUUACACAUGCAAGCCGAACGGCAGCACGGGAGCAAUCCUGGUGGCGAGUGGCGAACGGGUGAGUAAUAUAUCGGAACGUGCCCAGUCAUGGGGGAUAACGCAGCGAAAGCUGUGCUAAUACCGCAUACGAUCUACGGAUGAAAGCGGGGGAUCGCAAGACCUCGCGCGAUUGGAGCGGCCGAUAUCAGAUUAGCUAGUUGGUGAGGUAAAGGCUCACCAAGGCGACGAUCUGUAGCUGGUCUGAGAGGACGACCAGCCACACUGGAACUGAGACACGGUCCAGACUCCUACGGGAGGCAGCAGUGGGGAAUUUUGGACAAUGGGCGCAAGCCUGAUCCAGCAAUGCCGCGUGCAGGAUGAAGGCCUUCGGGUUGUAAACUGCUUUUGUACGGAACGAAACGGUGAGCUCUAAUACAGUUUGCUAAUGACGGUACCGUAAGAAUAAGCACCGGCUAACUACGUGCCAGCAGCCGCCGUAACAC
rnacentral:rRNA from 1 species